CGGGCGGCCGUGACCCUGCUGGAGUGCGGGGGGGACCUCCAGCCCCCCGGGGGGUCCCUGACUCUGCUCUGCCACGGGAAUGGAUUCGAUUUUGGAAGUUACGACAUGAUGUGGGCUCGUCAGAGCCCCGGGAAGGUGCUGGAAUGGCUCGCAGGGAUCGACAGCAGUGGCAGUAGCACCCGGUAUGCGCCGUCGGUCAAGGGCCGGUUCUCGAUCUCCAGGGACAACGGGCAGAACUCAGUGACACUGACCUUGAACAACCUCAAGGACGAGGAUUCCGCCGUUUAUUUCUGCGUCAGAGCUGCGUAUGGUUGGGCUGCUUAUAUUUAUGUUGGUGGUUUCGACAUCCAUCACUGCAUCCCCACCUGUCCCCAAAUGUCCCCAGACGCUUCCCCCAAAUCCCAACACCUGACCCCAACCUUGAACACUUACCCCGAUUUAACCCAAAGUUUUUAAGACCAAAGUUGGGAUCAAUGCCGAGUGUUGAGGUUUGGGGAGCAGAGAUCAAAGCUUUGGAGGAACGGCCAAGAGUUGGG